rnacentral:tRNA from 1 species
GCCGAAGUGGUGAAACUGGCAGACGCAACGGACUCAAAAUCCGUCGGUAGUGAUACCAUGCGGGUUCGAUUCCCGCCUCCGGCA